ensembl:lncRNA
CUUACUGCAAGUAUUUGUGUACCUAUCGACACCGUUUCACAUUUUUGUUUUCAGUAGGGGACACUUUUCCUCUUUGGUAUAAUUUUUUCUGUGAUUGCAGCUCCUGAAAUGGACAAAUCAGAUGCUACCGACACUAUGCUGGAAGCCCCAGAACAUGAGCAGCUGCUCAACCCAACGAGUUCCUCACAGCAGGGACAAAUGGAUCAACAGCGCUGCUCCCAGAGUCCUGUUAAAACUGGGCAAAUCGAAUCCACACCUGCAGGUUCAAACUACGGAGGGAAACACCUUGAUGAAGUGCAAGGGUCAUUGCCAGGAUCCAACAACAAGGUACCGAGGAGUAUCAACCAUCUCAGCUCUGCACCUCUGAUUUCCCCGACAGAGAGUACUCCAGAUAGAAGCAGGAAGGAUCCGCUGGUCCAAGACCAGCAAUUACAGGAAGAAUUAUCUCCCGAAGAAGUUAAAUUCAUGAAUUUGAUCAGCAAUGGCCAAC